rnacentral:tRNA from 1 species
ACAUUGGUGGUUCAGUGGUAGAAUCCUCACCUUCCAUGUGGGAGACAGGGGUUUGAUUCCUGGCCAAUGCA